rnacentral:misc_RNA from 1 species
UCGAGUUUUGAAAGGGGUUGUAGCUGGCCUUCCGAGGCAUGUGCACGCCCUGCUCAUCCACACUCAACACCUGUGCACCUUUUGUGGGCGGAAUGGGAGAAAUCCCGCUUUGCCUGCGUCUCUCACACACACAUAAAGUAUCAGAAUGUAACCACGCGUUUAUACGCAUCUUAAUA